UAAUAGUAAAUAUCAUUAUUGAAUAGGUAUUCUCUCGUUUUACGUGCAUCAUCUUCUCCACCACAUUCUUCUUCCCUCGGAAACCCUAGCAACCGCCAAGGUUUCGGGCGGUGCCUCCGUCCGACAGUCCUCCAACUGAAGCCUUGUCGCCGUUUGUCUUCCGUCGUCGGUCGUCCUCGCAAACAUCUGGUCUCCUUCACCAUCGUCGUGAAGCAGCCAAAGCAAGUCUUCUUCGUUCGUCCGAAGCCGAAGCGUCACGAAUCGCGCAUCCCAAUCGUCUGCGACCGCCAACUCGUUCGCACAUGUAGGCUUUAGUCUUCUGCACCGUGUUUCUUCACCCGAGCCGUCCGUGCCAUCUCUCUACACAUGAGUUCCUCGCAUCGACUACCUUCUUAGCCGAGUCGUGAGCCCCUUCCUUGGUUCCUUAACCAUCUUUGCUUUGGAGCCAUAUUUGGAGAGGCUUUUUGGUCUAGCUAAUUUUAUUGGAGGACUUCAUCCAUCAAUUUUCUUAUUCAAGGUGUUUGGUUACAACCUUGGCCUUUGGGUACGUUGAAGACUUAAGUUUUGGUCUUUGGGUACGUUGAAGACUUAAGUUAAAUUUAGAUGAUGGUUGACAAGUUUAUUAAUCUAAGUUUCGUUAUGAUUAGGAUUCGUCUAUUUGGAGAACUUUUGGAUGUUGUUGAUAAGAUUAAUUUUUUUUUUUUGCAAAUCUUAAGGUAAGAGAUUCGACUAUUAGAUCCUCCCAUCAUGUUUUCCCUUGGUAUGCAUUAGCGUAGCUAUAAUGUAUGUGAUGUAACUAAUGUGAUUGCUAAGGAUGUAAGAUAACGAUAGCUACAUAGAAAAUCGUUGUGAUAUGAAUGAGAUGUACCCUGAUUGGGACAUGCUAUGAGUUAUGUUUA